rnacentral:rRNA from 1 species
CAGCCGUAAACUGUGCUCGCUAGGUGUCAGGCAUGGCGCGACCGUGUCUGGUGCCGCAGGGAAGCCGUGAAGCGAGCCACCUGGGAAGUACGGCCGCAAGGCUGAAACUUAAAGGAAUUGGCGGGGGAGCACAACAACGGGUGGAGCCUGCGGUUUAAUUGGACUCAACGCCGGGAAGCUCACCGGAUAAGACAGCGGAAUGAUUGCCGGGCUGAAGACUCUGCAUGACUAGCUGAGAGGUGGUGCAUGGCGUAGACGUCU